UGGGGAAUAUUGGACAAUGGGGGCAACCCUGAUCCAGCAAUGCCGCGUGUGUGAAGAAGGUCUUCGGAUUGUAAAGCACUUUCGACGGGGACGAUGAUGACGGUACCCGUAGAAGAAGCCCCGGCUAACUUCGUGCCAGCAGCCGCGGUAAUACGAAGGGGGCUAGCGUUGCUCGGAAUGACUGGGCGUAAAGGGCGUGUAGGCGGUUUACACAGUCAGAUGUGAAAUCCCCGGGCUUAACCUGGGAGCUGCAUUUGAUACGUGUAGACUAGAGUGUGAGAGAGGGUUGUGGAAUUCCCAGUGUAGAGGUGAAAUUCGUAGAUAUUGGGAAGAACAC
rnacentral:rRNA from 1 species